rnacentral:lncRNA from 1 species
ACAUGGUCAGAUAAAAUUACCAACUUGAAAAGAAAUAAAAUCAAGAGCAUAUACACCUGCAAAAAAGGCCUUCCAACUCUUUUCGGCUCGUUCUUCUGGCUCUGUCCAUCGUCCAAAAGUGUGCCUCGUCCCCAAUAGAAAACCUAACCCUAAAAAAAAAGAAAAGAAGAAACUCAAAUUCCAGUCAUGAGUGUAAUGACAAAGCUAACUGUUUUGAGUGUUUUGAUUGCUUCCAGAAACUUGUCCUUGUAACUUUAUUAAAGCCAUUGUUCCUCUCUAUUAUUCUGAUCUCAAAUCUCAAUAUAAAUCAGUUUCUCCAAACAAGCUUGAAGAGCUGGAGCACCCAUGUUAUGAAAAAUCUCAUUCAAUGAUGCAGGCCACAGAUAUAUACAUGAUGAUGAUUCAUUGAUUCGUAAAACAAAUGUGAAGCCAUUUGUGGCAUUUGAUAAACUCAUAUACAUCACUGACUGAAGCAUUUGAUCGAAUAGGUGGUGGGCAUCUAAGCAUUUUGAUUCAACCAGAUUAUCAAAUAACACACCAAGACCAGUGGAAUCAGUACAAGUAACACACCAAAUUAUCAAUUAAAUACCCAUAACAUGAUCUAGCAGCUUUCUGAUAGCAAAAACCCAUACCAAAUUAUCAUUGAACUAAACUGAUAUAAAAUUGAAUCUAAACAAAAACCCAAACACCCAACAACUAAUUCAUACCUUAAACUCUUCAAAUUGAGGAGAAUCUUCUGAGGUGGAGAACUAGAGAUGAAUGGAUAAAUAGAUGAAAGAGGUGAAAGUUGCUCAGAGUACCCUCCCAAAAGGCAAAAGAUGUGUCUGUCAGGUUCGGUUCUUCUUAGUUGGGUUGGGCGGGUUCGACCAGAAAUGCUAUGCUUACACACAAGACUACCCCUCUUCUCGAAAGCUUCGCGGGGACUACUUUACGACGACGGACGACCCAAAUGUAGGGGGUUUACUGCACAAGGCCCCUGCUGAGGAAAAGCUUUAUCCCAGCGAAUAGAAGAUGCUCUCCUCUUCUCUUCACUUUAGGUUUUAAUCGGUGCAAAUCGAUCUGUUUCUAAUAAGUUAGGUUUUUCAAAUUCUGUUUUUGUUUUUGAUUAUAAUUUCUAUAUAAAAAUUAUGAAAUUACAUGUUACCUGGUAAACAAGUUACUAAUAUUAAAUAAUCUAAGCCGUUAGAUAUAUUCAAAGUUUUAUUAUAUCUAACAGUCAAAAAUAUUCAAAAGAGUUUAUGCAUGGUAUGCAUCAACUCACCUUAGAAUUUUCCGUAAAGUAGUAAUGCUAUAAUUUUAAGCGAUAAGCAAAUCAUUUGAUGUAUAGAAAUGAAC